rnacentral:rRNA from 1 species
CCUACGGGAGGCUGCAGUGGGGAAUAUUGGGCAAUGGGCGAAAGCCUGACCCAGCAACGCCGCGUGAAGGAAGAAGGCUUUCGGGUUGUAAACUUCUUUUGACAGGGGAGAGGAGAAGACGGUACCUGUCGAAUAAGCCACGGCUAACUACGUGCCAGCAGCCGCGGUAAUACGUAGGUGGCAAGCGUUGUCCGGAUUUACUGGGGGUAAAGGGCGUGUAGCCGGGCGGACACGUCAGAUGUGAAAUCCGGGGGCUCAACCCCCGAACUGCAUUUGAAACGGUUGGUCUUGAGUGUCGUAGGGGCAGGUGGAAUUCCUGGUGUAGCGGUGAAAUGCGUAGAUAUUAGGAGGAACACCAGUGGCGAAGGCGGCCUGCUGGACGACAACUGACGGUGAGGCGCGAAAGCGUGGGGAGCAAACAGGAUUAGAUACCCCAGUAGUC